CCUACGGGAGGCAGCAGUGAGGAAUAUUGGUCAAUGGCCGGAAGGCUGAACCAGCCAAGCCGCGUGAAGGACGAAGGUGCCAAGCAUUGUAAACUUCUUUUGUCAAGGGACAAAAUCAGGCUCGAGAGCCUGACCGAGGGUACUUGAAGAAAAAGCCUCGGCAAACUCCGUGCCAGCCGCCGCGGUAAUACGGGGGAUGCGAGCGUUAUCCGGAUUUAUUGGGGUUAAAGGGUGCGUAGGCGGACUGUUAAGUCAGCGGUAAAAGCCCGGGGCUCAACCCCGGCGAGCCGUUGAGACUGGCUGUCUUGAGAUGUCGAGAGGUAUGCGGAAUGCGCAGUGUAGCGGUGAAAUGCUUAGAUAUUGCGCAGAACUCCGAUUGCGAAGGCAGCAUACCGGCGGCGAUCUGACGCUGAGGCACGAAAGCGUGGGUAUCGAACAGGAUUAGAUACCCGUGUAGUC
rnacentral:rRNA from 1 species